rnacentral:lncRNA from 10 species
AAGAGAGAUCUGGCGAGGAUGAAGAGCAGUCACAUCCCACAAGACCCUACAGGAUAGAUGACCGGCACCUCUCCCUUGCUUCUCAAGAGAAACAUGCACAACCCCACUACAAAGAAAAGGGAGCACAGGCCAGGCACUGUGGCUCACGCCUGUAAUUCCAGCACUUUGGGAGGCCAUGGCGGGCAGAUCAUGAGGUCAGGAGUUCGAGACCAGCAUGGCCAACAUGGUGAAACCCCGUCUCUACUAAAAAAACAAAAAUUAGCCAGGCGUGGUGACGCACGCCUGUAAUCCCAGAUGCUCAGGAGGUGGAGGUUGCAGUGAGCUGAGGUUGCACCACUGCACUUCAGCCUGGGCAGCAAGAGUGAAACUCUGUCUCAAAACAAAAAACCCCACAAAACAAAAACCUAGCCAGGAGUGCAAUGGCUACAUUGGCGUGGUGAACCGCAGCCAGAAGGAUAUUGAGGGCAAGAAGGACAUCCGUGCAGCACUGGCAGCUGAGAGGAAGUUCUUCCUCUCCCACCCGGCCUACCGGCACAUGGCCGACCGCAUGGGCACGCCACAUCUGCAGAAGACGCU